rnacentral:rRNA from 1 species
CGACGGGGAUGGCCCAACUAUGGCCUCUGUCCUCUUUGCAAGCGAACCCAAGAAUCUUCGACACACCUUCUCUGUCAGUGUCGUUUCUCUGUGAGGGUCUGGUAUUGCAUUGUGGAGUGGCCUGGCCUCCCAGAUGUCCAAUCCCGGGAUUGGAACCUAAUGGGUAGCGUCAACGAGUGGUGGAUAGGAGUCAUCGAACAGGGACAAUCGAGGAAGGCCAUGUCAUCCAAAAUUAUGUUGAUCUCGUGGGAGCUAUGGAAGGAGCGCAAUUCAAGGGUCUUCCACAACACUGUGACACCCUCUACGGUUGUGGUGCGUAACAUCAAAGAGGAAAUUAGAUUGUGGGUGCUCGCUGCUCGCUGGCGCUAA